rnacentral:rRNA from 1 species
AGAGUUUGAUCCUGGCUCAGGAUGAACGCUAGCUACAGGCUUAACACAUGCAAGUCGAGGGGAAACGAUAUUGGAAGCUUGCUUCCGAUAGGCGUCGACCGGCGCACGGGUGAGUAACGCGUAUCCAACCUGCCCACCACUUGGGGAUAACCUUGCGAAAGUAAGACUAAUACCCAAUGAUAUCUCUAGAAGACAUCUGAAAGAGAUUAAAGAUUUAUCGGUGAUGGAUGGGGAUGCGUCUGAUUAGCUUGUUGGCGGGGUAACGGCCCACCAAGGCAACGAUCAGUAGGGGUUCUGAGAGGAAGGUCCCCCACAUUGGAACUGAGACACGGUCCAAACUCCUACGGGAGGCAGCAGUGAGGAAUAUUGGUCAAUGGACGAGAGUCUGAACCAGCCAAGUAGCGUGCAGGAAGACGGCCCUAUGGGUUGUAAACUGCUUUUAUAAGGGAAUAAAGUGAGAGUCGUGACUCUUUUUGUAUGUACCAUAUGAAUAAGGAUCGGCUAACUCCGUGCCAGCAGCCGCGGUAAUACGGAGGAUCCGAGCGUUAUCCGGAUUUAUUGGGUUUAAAGGGAGCGUAGGCGGAUUGUUAAGUCAGUUGUGAAAGUUUGCGGCUCAACCGUAAAAUUGCAGUUGAUACUGGCAGUCUUGAGUGCAGUAGAGGUGGGCGGAAUUCGUGGUGUAGCGGUGAAAUGCUUAGAUAUCACGAAGAACUCCGAUUGCGAAGGCAGCUCACUGGAGUGUAACUGACGCUGAUGCUCGAAAGCGUGGGUAUCAAACAGGAUUAGAUACCCUGGUAGUCCACACAGUAAACGAUGAAUACUCGCUGUUUGCGAUAUACAGUAAGCGGCCAAGCGAAAGCAUUAAGUAUUCCACCUGGGGAGUACGCCGGCAACGGUGAAACUCAAAGGAAUUGACGGGGGCCCGCACAAGCGGAGGAACAUGUGGUUUAAUUCGAUGAUACGCGAGGAACCUUACCCGGGCUUAAAUUGCAAAUGAAUUAUGGGGAAACCCAUAGGCCGUAAGGCAUUUGUGAAGGUGCUGCAUGGUUGUCGUCAGCUCGUGCCGUGAGGUGUCGGCUUAAGUGCCAUAACGAGCGCAACCCUUAUCUUCAGUUACUAACAGGUCAUGCUGAGGACUCUGGAGAGACUGCCGUCGUAAGAUGUGAGGAAGGUGGGGAUGACGUCAAAUCAGCACGGCCCUUACGUCCGGGGCUACACACGUGUUACAAUGGGGGGUACAGAAGGCCGCUACCUGGUGACAGGAUGCCAAUCCCAAAAACCUCUCUCAGUUCGGAUCGAAGUCUGCAACCCGACUUCGUGAAGCUGGAUUCGCUAGUAAUCGCGCAUCAGCCAUGGCGCGGUGAAUACGUUCCCGGGCCUUGUACACACCGCCCGUCAAGCCAUGAAAGCCGGGGGUACCUGAAGUACGUAACCGCAAGGAGCGUCCUAGGGUAAAACUGGUAAUUGGGGCUAAGUCGUAACAAGGUA